rnacentral:rRNA from 1 species
AGCGAACGCUGGCGGCAGGCCUAACACAUGCAAGUCGAACGCACCUUCGGGUGAGUGGCGGACGGGUGAGUAAUACGUGGGAACGUACCUUUUGGUUCGGAAUAACGCAGGGAAACUUGUGCUAAUACCGAAUGUGCCCUUCGGGGGAAAGAUUUAUCGCCAUUAGAGCGGCCCGCGUUAGAUUAGCUAGUUGGUGAGGU